rnacentral:tRNA from 1 species
UCAAAGAAUAGUUUAUUUAAAAUAUUAAUUUUGGAGAUUAAUGAAAUAGUUAUUAUAUUUCUUUG